rnacentral:rRNA from 1 species
UACGUAGGGGGCAAGCGUUGUCCGGAUUUAUUGGGCGUAAAGAGCUCGUAGGCGGUUUGGUAAGUCAGGUGUGAAAUCUCCACGCUCAACGUGGAGGGGCCACCUGAUACUGCCAUGACUGGAGUCCGGUAGAGGAGUGUGGAAUUCCCGGUGUAGCGGUGAAAUGCGCAGAUAUCGGGAGGAACACCCGUAGCGAAGGCGGCACUCUGGGCCGGUACUGAC